rnacentral:rRNA from 1 species
CGUAAGGCGCCGAAUGAGUCAUUAAAAAAUUAACAUCAUCCGAUCCCUAGUCGGCAUAGUUUAUGGUUAAGACUACGACGGUAUCUGAUCGUCUUCGAUCCCCUAACUUUCGUUCUUGAUUAAUGAAAACAUCCUUGGCAAAUGCUUUCGCAGUAGUUAGUCUUCAAUAAAUCCAAGAAUUUCACCUCUGACAAUUGAAUACUAAUGCCCCCAACUAUCCCUAUUAAUCAUUACGUCAAUCUUAGAAACCAACAAAAUAAGACCGAACGUCCUAUUUCAUUAUUCCAUGCUAAUGUAUUCAAGCGUUAGCCUGCUUUAAACACUCUAAUUUUUUCAAAGUAACAGUCCAGUCUCCCCGCAACACCAAAUUAAUGGCAUUACGGUUCAUCAGGAAGGAGGAAUCAGUGAGACCAGUUCAUACCUGUGGCACGACCAACCUACUGACCCCGAAAUUCAACUACGAGCUUUUUAACUGCAACAACUUUAAUAUACGCUAUUGGAGCUGGAAUUACCGCGGCUGCUGGCACCAGACUUGCCCUCCAAUUGUUCCUCGUUAAGAGAUUUAAAUUGUACUCAUUCCAAUUACGAGAUCCGAAAGAACCCCGUAUUGUUAUUUAUUGUCACUACCUCCCCGUGUCGGGAUUGGGUAAUUUGCGCGCCUGCUGCCAUCCUUGGAUGUGGUAGCCGUUUCUCAGGCUCCCUCUCCGGUGUCGUGCCCUAACACCCCGUUACCCGUUACCACCAUGGUAGGCC